CCUACGGGAGGCAGCAGUGGGGAAUAUUGCACAAUGGGGGAAACCCUGAUGCAGCGACGCCGCGUGAGUGAAGAAGUAUUUCGGUAUGUAAAGCUCUAUCAGCAUGGAAGAAGAAAGACGGUACCUUACUAAGAAGCCCCGGCUAACUACGUGCCAGCAGCCGCGGUAAUACGGAGGGGGCAAGCGUUAUCCGGAUUUACGGGGUGUAAAGGGAGCGUAGACGGAUGGUCAAGUCUGAAGUGAAAGCCCAGGGCGCAACCCUGGGAUUGCUUUUGAAACUGGGGAGCUAGAGUACUGGAGAGGUAAGUGGAAUUCCUGGUGUAGCGGUGAAAUGCGUAGAUAUUAGGAAGAACACCAGUGGCGAAGGCAGCUUACUGGACAGUAACUGACGUUGAGGCUCGAAAGCGUGGGGAGCAAACAGGAUUAGAUACCCGGGUAGUC
rnacentral:rRNA from 1 species